AGGAUAAACGCUGGCGGCGUGCCUAACACAUGCAAGUCGAACGUCUCUUCUUUCGGGAAGAGGAGUGGCGGACGGGUGAGGAACACGUGGGAACCUGCCCUUCAGUGAGGAAUACCGGCGAGAAAUCGCCGACAAGACCGCAUAGCCCUCUCUGGUGAGAGCCAGAGAAGGAAAGCUUCGCAAGAGGCGCUGGAGGAGGGGCCUGCGUCCGAUUAGCUAGUUGGUGGGGUAAGAGCCUACCAAGGCGUCGAUCGGUAGCUGGUCUGAGAGGACGAUCAGCCACACUGGGAUUGAGAACGGCCCAGACUCCUACGGGGGGCAGCAGUGAGGAAUUUUCGGCAAUGGGGGAAACCCUGACCGAGCAACGCCGCGUGCAGGAAGACGGCCUUCGGGUUGUAAACUGCUUUCUUUGGGACGUAGCAAGGACGGUACCAGAGGAAUCAGCCCCGGCUCACUACGUGCCAGCAGCCGC
rnacentral:rRNA from 1 species